GAAGAGUUUCUUGAAGCUCAUCCGCCUAAGUGGUUGGACUUUCACUUUGGAGUCGCCCAUAAAAAGGAGAGAGGGAAACUAUACAUCUUUUCCAUACUUAUGGCCUAGGUUGUCUCUCCUUUUCAGACUUAGUUAAGAAAAAAUUAAAUAUAUAUACGAAUUUUUUGUAAGUAGAAGGAACACCUCCUAUCACAUUAAAUAGGAGGUGAGUAUCUCUAACAGUUGGGAGAAGGACAUGCUGAGAUUUUUUCCUAUUACUAUUAUGGAUCUUUGGGACAGUUUCAGUAAGUACUUUCAGGGGGUACUUGGUUUUUCCAACUUGAAAAUGGGGGCUAUUCAUUAUAAAUCUUAGAGCAAAAUUCUGAUAGCAAAGUAGAUAGAGGAAUAUAGAACCUUUUAUUAGAAGGUUUUUGUGUCUUUCUAGGAUAAUUAUUACAAGUAGUAUCAAUAUAUACCAACUAAUAUGCAUGAGAUAAGAUGGCGGGUCUGAGUCUUGGUUGGGAUGUGGGUCUGGAAUCUUGGAUUAUGGACAUAAGAAAUAUUAUGAACACUUAAUGAACACCUAGGCAGCAGGCUCAAGCCCAAGCACACACCACAGUAGCUUUCGAAUAGUUUGGAUGUAUUCUAAUUUGUAUUUCUCCCCAGCUACUUUUGUGGGUAGUCAUUUAGGCAGCCCUUCAUAGAGUUCUGGGUCUUUUCCUUAACUUUCCACAAAAAUGUUUCAGCUUUAGGAAGAGGUUUUGGGAAACCAGAAUGUUUCCAUUACUGUACGGUUAAACCUUUUGUUCACUACUUAGACAAAUAUACUGAGCACUCAUUUUUGUUUUUUUUUUAAGAGACAGUAGCUUUUAUAACAGGCUCGAACAUAAGCUCCUGUGAACUAUGUACAUAGUAAGUCCUCCGUAGCUGUUGCAUAUAUAAUCCAUGGUUAGUAUAAAAUUAUCGUAAUUUUAAAUAAGACAAGCCAUAGUUCUAUGAGUGAUAUAAUUUUAAAUAAGACAAGCCAUCGUUCUUUGAGUGAUGUGUUUGAGUGAUGCUUCUUGAUACUUCUUUCAGCUUAAACAUAGAAAUCAUGAUCACACCACUGCACUCCAGCCUGGGUAACAGCGAGACUCUGUCUCAAAAAAAUAAAAAUUAAAACUAAAAUAAACAUAGAAACCAGAUUUUCUUUGGUUUCCUCUGUCGGUGA
ensembl:lncRNA novel transcript